UCCUCGUUUAAGCGAGGCAGUCUGUCCAGAGUGCUCCCGACUCUCGUCGGGGUGGCAACAGGACACAAGGGUUGCGCUCGUUGCGGGACUUAACCCAACAUCUCACGACACGAGCUGACGACAGCCAUGCAGCACCUGUGCACGGACUCCGAAGAGGAACCGAUGUUUCCACCGGCUUUCCCGUGCAUGUCAAGCCCAGGUAAGGUUCUUCGCGUCGCGUCGAAUUAAACCACAUGCUCCGCUGCUUGUGCGGGUCCCCGUCAAUUCCUUUGAGUUUUAAUCUUGCGACCGUACUCCCCAGGCGGCGAACUUCACGCGUUAGCUGCGGUACUAAGGAAGUCUCCUUCCCCAACACCUAGUUCGCAUCGUUUAGGGCGUGGACUAC
rnacentral:misc_RNA from 1 species